rnacentral:rRNA from 1 species
CCCGCUGAAUUUAAGCAUAUUAAUAAGCGGAGGAAAAGAAACUAACAAGGAUUGAUCCGUAUAGAUCCA